UACGGAGGGAUCAAGCGUUAAUCGGAAUUACUGGGCGUAAAGCGCACGCAGGUGGCUGAGAAAGUCGAUUGUGAAAGCCCUGGGCUUAACCUGGGAAUUGCAGUCGAAGCUACUCAGCUAGAGUAUGGGAGAGGGCAGUGGAAUUCCCGGUGUAGCGGUGAAAUGCGUAGAUAUCGGGAGGAACAUCAGUGGCGAAGGCGGCUGCCUGGCCCAAUACUGACACUCAGGUGCGACAGCGUGGGGAGCAAACAGG
rnacentral:rRNA from 1 species